UACGUAGGGUGCGAGCGUUAAUCGGAAUUACUGGGCGUAAAGCGUGCGUAGGCGGUUCGUUAAGUUCGGUGUGAAAGCCCCGGGCUCAACCUGGGAAUGGCAAUGGAAACUGGCGGGCUGGAGUAUGGCAGAGGGGGGUGGAAUUCCGCGUGUAGCAGUGAAAUGCGUAGAGAUGCGGAGGAACACCGAUGGCGAAGGCAGCCCCCUGGGCCAAUACUGACGCUCAGGCACGAAAGCGUGGGGAGCAAACAGG
rnacentral:rRNA from 1 species